AUUGAACGCUGGCGGCAGGCCUAACACAUGCAAGUCGAGCGGAGCGGCGGACGGGUGAGUAAUGCCUAGGAAUCUGCCUGGUAGUGGGGGAUAACGUCCGGAAACGGGCGCUAAUACCGCAUACUAUCAGAUGAGCCUAGGUCGGAUUAGCUAGUUGGUGGGGUAAAGGCCUACCAAGGCGACGAUCCGUAACUGGUCUGAGAGGAUGAUCAGUCACACGGGACCUGAGACACGGUCCAGCUUCCUGCGGAGGGGAGAAGUGGGAAAUAUGGGAAAAUGGGCGAAAGCCUGAUCCACCCAUGCCGCGUGUGUGAAGAAGGUCUUCGGAUUUUAAGGCACUUUAAGUUGGGAGGCGUUCCCAACAGAAUAAGCACCGGCUAACUGCGGGCCAGCAGCCGCGGUAAUAC
rnacentral:rRNA from 1 species